rnacentral:rRNA from 1 species
GGAUUGCCUCAGUAACGGCGAGUGAAGCGGCAACAGCUCAAAUUUGAAAUCUGGCCGUAAGGUCCGAGUUGUAAUUUGUAGAGGAUGUUUUGGGCACCGCUGUGGGUUAAAUUUCUUGGAACAGAAUGUCAAAGAGGGUGAGAGUCCCGUCUUGGCCCGCGGUAGGACCUAUGUAAAACUCCUUCGACGAGUCGACUUGUUUGGGAAUGCAGGUCAAAAUGGGUGGUAAAUUUCAUCUAAAGCUAAAUAUUGGCCAGAGACCGAUAGCGCACAAGUAGAGUGAUCGAAAGAUGAAAAGCACUUUGAAAAGAGAGUUAAACAGUAUGUGAAAUUGUUGAAAGGGAAGCGCUGGCAACCAGACUCGAGCGCGGUGUUCCCCCUGGCUUCUGCCUGGGUUAUUUCACCGUGACCGGGCCAUCAUCAGUUUUGAGGGCUGGUUAAAGAUUCAAGGAAUGUAUCCACUCCUUCGGGGGUGGACUUAUAGCCUCGAAUGUCAUGCAGCCUCUCGGGACUGAGGAACGCGCUUCGGCGAGGAUGAUGGCGUAAUGGUUGUCAGCGACCCGUCUUGAAACACGGACCAAGGAGUCUAACAUCUAUGCGAGUGUUCGGGUGUCAAACCCUUGCGCGGAAUGAAAGUGAACGGAGGUAGGAAGGUGUCACAACCUGCACUAUCGACCGAUCCUGAUGUCUUCGGAUGGAUUUGAGUAAGAGCAUAGCUGUUGGGACCCGAAAGAUGGUGAACUAUGCGUGAAUAGGGUGAAGCCAGAGGAAACUCUGGUGGAGGCUCGCACCGGUUCUGACGUGCACAUCGAUCGUCAAAUUUGCGUAUAGGGGCGAAAGACUAAUCGAACCAUCUGGUAGCUGGUUCCUGCCGAAGUAUCUCUCACGAUAGCAGUAACGUUNUCAGUUUUAUGAGGUAAAGCGAAUGAUUAGAGGCCUUGCGGUUGAAACAACCUUAACCUAUUCUCAAACUUUAAAUAUGUAAGAAGUCCUUGUUACUUAGUUGAACGUGGACAUUUGAAUGUAUCGUUACUAGUGGGCCAUUUUUGGUAGC